UACGUAGGUGGCAAGCGUUGUCCGGAUUUAUUGGGUUUAAAGGGUGCGUAGGCGGCCCUGUAAGUCAGUGCUGAAAUAUCCCAGCUUAACUGGGAGGGUGGCAUUGAUACUGCGGGGCUAGAGUACAGAUGAGGUAGGCGGAAUUGACGGUGUAGCGGUGAAAUGCUUAGAUAUCGUCAAGAACACCUAUAGCGAAGGCAGCUUACUAGGCUGUAACUGACGCUGAGGCACGAAAGUGUGGGGAGCAAACAGG
rnacentral:rRNA from 1 species